UGGAACAGCGGGAAGGAUCAUUGCUGGAACGCGCCUCGGCGCACCCAGAAACCCUUUGUGAACUUAUACCUCUACUGUUGCCUCGGCGCAGGCCGGCCUCCUAGCUGAGGCCCCCCGGAGACGGGGAGCAGCCCGCCGGCGGCCAAGUUAACUCUUGUUUCUACCCUGAAUCUCUGAGUAAAAAAACAUAAAUGAAUCAAAACUUUCAACAACGGAUCUCUUGGUUCUGGCAUCGAUGAAGAACGCAGCGAAAUGCGAUAAGUAAUGUGAAUUGCAGAAUUCAGUGAAUCAUCGAAUCUUUGAACGCACAUUGCGCCCUCUGGUAUUCCGGAGGGCAUGCCUGUUCGAGCGUCAUUUCAACCCUCAAGCCUGGCUUGGUGUUGGGGCACUGCUUCGAGAGAAGCAGGCCCUGAAAUCUAGUGGCGAGCUCGCUAGGACCCCGAGCGUAGUAAUUAUUUCUCGUUCUGGAAGGCCCUGGCGGUGCCCUGCCGUUAAACCCCCAACUUCUGAAAAUUUGACCUCGGAUCAGGUAGGAAUACCCGCUGAACUUAAGCAUAUCAAUAAGCGGAG
rnacentral:rRNA from 1 species